rnacentral:sRNA from 1 species
UAGAAGCUACUUAUCACAGUCGAUGGUA